ACUGGAGCAGCAGCAGCAGGUUCAGCAACUGAUUUGGUGUCAGGCGCUGGAGCAGCAGCAGGCUCAGCAACUGAUUUGGUGUCAGGCACUGGAGCAGCAGCAGCAGCAGGCUCGGCAUCUGGUUUGUUUUCAGGCGCUGGGGCAGGAACAGCAGCAGGCUUGGCAUCUGGUUUGGUUUCAGGCGCUGGGGCGAGAACAGCAGCAGGCUCGGCAACUGAUUCGGUCUCAGGCACUGGGGCAGGAACAGCAGCAGGCUCGGCAGGAGCAGGGGCUGAGUUCUCAGUUGGGUUGCUUACUGGAGCUGGAGCCACAGCUUCAGGCUCAUCUGGCUUGGCAUCUUCUUUC
rnacentral:lncRNA from 1 species